GGGACCCUUCGGAUACCCGUCUACGUCUGGCACCGACCAAUCAGAGCUCCAGAACCGAACCUGUCCACACUGCGAAGUGGGCCUGGAAGAGGGGUAGCCAUGAUGACUGCGGGAAGAUGACUGGUGUCCAGGGCCUCUAAGACUGCAUCUCAGCCCUCAGCAUCCAGGGAAACCAGCAGCAGAAGAGCAAUCUGGAAAGGAGAACCAUGCAUCAACCCAAUGCAGGGCCCCAACCAGAGCUCCAGACCCCUGUGUCCAAUUGCCUGGCUACACACCUGGAGAUUGAGUUCUCUGAUGCGAUGUCCUUUGGGGUCCGGACUGUUGUGAAGGUUCGUCCAGCUCCACGCCCACCCACUGGCCACUGGCAAACUCCGUGGUCCCACAGAACCGCAGUGUGCCCGUCUGAGGAAACAAAGGAGGUCUCUCCUUCAUUAGAAACAAAGCUCCAUGAGAACAGGCCUGAGGCUGACAGUCCUUUAUCCCCAAAAAUGGGCUGAGUCAGGCAUGGAGCCUAAGGGAUACGAGCAAAUGAAUCAAAGUUGGAAUGCCUAGACGAAUGAAGAUUCUCUCUGCCCUCUGGCCCUUUUCACCUGCUUGUCCUACCUGAGACCCUCUUCUCCUGGCUCACUCUUCCUCAUCUUCAAGUGGAUACAUCUCCUGGCACACCUCUGAUUGUUCUGAUCUGUACAUUUUUCCCAAAGUACUGACUGCUCUGGGAGCAGAGGUGAGGCCUGACUGGAAACCACAAAGGCCAGGGGACCCAGAUGGAGCAGAGCUGCAAUGACUACUCUGAUUGUGCUUCCCCAUAACAGUCACAACUGCUCUGGACUGUCACUGUCAGUUGAGGGAAAUCUGUCUUCCCCCUUGGAUUGAGACCUCAGCCCAGAGUGGAGCACAAAAGAGGCACUCACAGAAAAACUGUCAGGUGAAAUAAAAACUGUGUGGAUCAUUGGGAAGGUGCCCAAGGACUCAGUUCUGAGGGAUGAUGGCUGAGUCAUGCCCUCCCCU